AUCCACCUAAUUAGCUAUUUUCAUGGUUGACGAAAUCCUACGUAGUUGUGUGUUGGUGUAAAUGUAUCACAUAAAAAGGAUUGUAAAUGAGGCCGUUAACUUUUGACAAUACCUCUUGAACAUUACUGAAAUAUUUCCUUGCAUAGUGCAGGUGUAUUUAUGCUGCAAUCAGCUAUAUUGGUGUUGCUUCCCUCAGGAUGUUGCUAUCUCUACAAUAGCCGGAGAAGACGAAACAAGUUUUGCAAUGCACACGGACUGGCUCAGUUGUGAAUGUCACAAAUGCUCCCCUAACGAGGAUCAAAUCAAUGAAAGGAUGGCCUUGAUAAAUAAUAUUCAUGAGGCGAAGAGGAAGUACCCAUACAUGAUGAGCUUUGAGAGGUGACUUUGCAAGACUGACUAAGAUUGACCCAUCACCUUGUAUUGCAAAAGGGAUCAACAAAAUUGUGAAAAUGGCAGAAAUGAAACACAUCCCUUGCGAAGCAAGUGUAAUGGCAUCACUUCAAAAGGCUCGUGAGAUGUCACCGGAGAGGCUGCGAACACGACGACCCGAGCGUUCCUGCAACCUCUUGCAUCGUAUUUUCUGGAGAAGACGUUGAAGAGGCUGACCUCCACAUCAAGGUGGACCGCGAGAUGUUUGCAGUGAAAAAUGGGGAGGAGGGGCUGGCGGCUGUUUUAUCUGCUUACUGGCUCUUCAAUAUCCAGUACGACCGCAAGCUGUUCAACACUCUUCUCGUGUUGGAGCGCCUUUUCCUUGGGCUCACAUUGAGUACCCCUAGAGUAGUGGCUACAAAGUUCUUGAACAAUGUUGCCAAAUGUGUGCCAUGUUUAAUGUGCUGAAGCUGUGCACUGUUACCUCAUCAUGAGUUUAGCUGUAAUUUUCAGAUGCAAGUUUUGUUUUGUCUAACCAUUUCUGCAAUACAUAUGAAGGAAGCCAACAGUCACCGAUAACAAGGCAAGCUUAUGGCAACGCUAUUCGUUUUUUUUUAUUUGCAGUGUUAGUAGUUGGAAAUUAUUAGUGUAAUUAUUUUCAGAUGUGGUUAGUUAGGAUCCCACUGGCAGCAUGUGGUUUUCUGCUUUCUGAUCAUUUACCUGUCAGCCAUAAAAUGAUUACACUAACAAUUUUCUAUUGUCAGCACCACAAAUUGUUAAAACUUAGAAGCAUUCUCCAUGUGGGGCGUUCCUUGGUCUCGGUCACUGUUGGCAUUUUUCAUAUGCAUUACAGAAAGGGUUAAACUAUUCAACACUUUCUUAUCUAAAUGUUACAGGUAAACUGUCUUUUGUAUUACAUCAUUAGCUCUUUUUAACUUUCAAUAACUAAGCAAGAUUCUAGU